UAACUAAUUUUUUAUAACGUGUGAGUGUAAAUAUAGCUUAUUUCUCCCUCUGUCUGCUAUUUUUUAACGUUGCCAUUAUCUUAUAUAAAACUUUUGUGACUUAUGUUUGUUGUUUCUAGUUUCUGUGUAAAUUUUGGCGAGGCCGUGAUAAAUUCAUUUAUUUACAAUCUUUCUUUUUAUAUUAUUUCAUCUGUUAAAGAUUUAGCAUGAUGGAAUUGUAAUGUCAACUUAUUUUAUCAGAUUAACUAGUUGCAUCCGCUUAAUUUUGCGAUUCUUCAUUUUUAAAUUCACUAUUUGCGACUCGCUAACUGCAUGGAAUUGAAUGAUUCAAAGGAAGCUUUCAAUUAACUGAAUUGAAUCUUGGUCUAAUUUGAACAUGACAGAGGAACUCCAGUUAUAGCACAGUGCUUUAUCUUUUUAAGCAGGAGUGAUAAUUAUUUAUUAAUUAUUUUAAUUAUGGCUAGAUCAUUAGUACCUAGUUAUCAAAAGUUGGCUGAAAAGUUGACUAUUUUAAAUGAUAGGGGUAUUGGUAUGCUUACAAGAAUCUACAAUAUUAAGAAAGCUUGUGGAGAUGCUAAAAGUAAGCCAAACUUUUUAUCCGAAAAGAGUUUAGAUUCAGCAAUAAAGCAUAUAGUAAGGCGUUUUCCGAACAUCGAUACUCGAGGAAACAGCGUAAGAUUUCUUUUUAUUAUAUUUCAUCUUAAUUUAUGUUGCAAUUUUUUUACAUAUGUCUGUUUUAUGAUCUGAUGUGUUAUUAAACAUCAGGGUGCCCACAGAAGUGGAAAAAAUCAGAAAAUUUUAUUAAUCUGAAAAAAAUUAGGAAAUUUGUUUAAUAUACCCAAGAAUUCAAGAAAAAACUAAUA